UACGGAGGGUGCGAGCGUUAAUCGGAAUUACUGGGCGUAAAGCGCACGCAGGCGGUUUGUUAAGCAAGAUGUGAAAGCCCCGGGCUCAACCUGGGAACUGCAUUUUGAACUGGCAGACUAGAGUCUUGGAGAGGGGGGUGGAAUUCCAGGUGUAGCGGUGAAAUGCGUAGAGAUCUGGAGGAACAUCAGUGGCCGAAGGCGGCCCCUGGCCAAGCACUGACGCUCAUGUGCGAAAGUGUGGGUAGCGAACAGGAUUAGACUACCCGGUAGUCC
rnacentral:rRNA from 1 species